rnacentral:lncRNA from 1 species
CAGGGGCGGAUCCAGGAAUUUAUUAGGGGGUGGUCACCUUUUGAAAUCUUAAAUUAAAAUUCAAUUUUUUAUGGCCCCUUAUAGGAAGAUUCUGUUUGCCACAAAGCAAAACACACUUGCAUAUAGAUUUCAAAACAGUUCUGUUUGCUUUUAUACGUUCAUCCAUUGCUUUAUCAAUAAAUGUUUGAAUAUCAGUAGUCCUUUGCUCAAUGUUGUCAAGAAAAAGUUGAGCUUUUGCUCUAGCUUCAGUAUGACUUUUUUUACAUGAUUUCUCAUCACGGCCGAAAUGAUCGUUAAGUCUUGUACUUGCAUGUGCC